AGAGAGGGUGGGGGGAGAGAGGAUGGGGGAGAGAGGAUGGAAGGGUAGGGAGAUCAAAUCAAAAUAAAAUCUAACUUUAUUUGUCACAUGCACCGAAUACAACAAGUAUAGACCUUAACUUGAAAUGCUUAAUUACAAGCCCUUAACCGACAACGCAGUUCAAGAAGAGUUAAGAAAAUAUUUACCAGAUAAACUAAAGUAUUUUUUUUGUUUUAAGUAACACAAUAAAAUACCAAUAAUGUGCUAUAGACAGGGGGUACCGGUACCGAGUCAGUGUGCAGGGGUACAGGUUGGUUGAGGUAAUUUGUACAUGAAAGUUGGGGUGAAGUGACUAUGCAUAGAUAAUAAACAGUGAGUAGCAGCACUGCAGAAAACAAAUGGGGGGGGGGUGUCAAUGUAAAUAGUCUGGUGGUCUUUUGAUUAACUGUUCAGCAGUCUUAUGGCUUGGGGGUAGAAGCUGUUAAGGAGCCUUUUAGUCUUAGACUUGGAGCCUCUGAUGAUUUUAUGGGCUUUCCUCUGACACCGCCUAUUAUAUAGGUCCUAGAUGGCAGGAAGCUUGGCCCCAGUGAUCUACUGGGCCAUACGCACUAGAGGUCGACCGAUUAAUCGGAAUGGACGAUUAAUUAGGGCCGAUUUCAAGUUUUCAUAACAAUCGGAAAUCGGCAUUGUUGGGCACCGAUCUUGGCCGAUUACAUUGCACUCCACGAGGAGACUGCGUGGCAGGCUGACUACCUGUUACGUGAGUGCAGCAAGGAGCCAAGGUAAGUUGCUAGCUAGCAUUAAACGUAUCUUAUAAAGAACAAUCAAUCUUAACAUAAUCACUAGUUAACUACACAUGGUUGAUGAUAGUACUAGUUUAUCUAGCUUGUCCUGCGUUGCAUAUAAUCAAUGCGGUUUCUGUUAAUUUAUCAUUGAAACACAGCCUACUUCGCCAAACAGGUGAUUUAACAAGCGCAUUCGCGAAAAAAGCACUGUCGUUGCACCAAUGUGUUCCUAACCUGUCACGGUUGUCGUCGGUGAAGGAGGACCAAAACGCAGCAGGUAAGUGCAGGCUCAUCUUGACGUUUAUUUAUUUUCAAAAUGAAUACCAAAAUAACAAAACACUAGAACGAACGAACAACAACAAACAGUCUGGCAAAGCAUAAGGCUCAACACAGAACAAUCACCCACAAAUAACAAACACAAACACACCCUCAUAUAUGGGACUCUCAAUCAAAGGCAGAUAGACAACACCUGCCUUCAACUGAGAGUCCCAACCCCAAUUAACCAAACAUAGAAACAGACAUACUAGACUAAACAUAGAAUACCUGAAAACCAAACAGUGCCCCAAAAACCCCGGAAUACUUAAACCAAAUGCCCCUUCAACAAAACACACCACCCCGAACCACAUAAAACGAAUACCCUCUGCCACGUCCUGACCAAACUACAAUACCAAUUAACCUUAUACUGGCCAGGACGUGACAGUACCCCCCCCCUUAAAGGGAGGGAAGGGAGGGUGGCUGCCGUCAACGACGGCACUGUGCUACACCCCCCCUCCCCAACCCACCUAUCUCUGGAGGUGGCUCCGGCUCUGGCCGUUCCAGGCUGUCGGGGCAGUCUGGCAACUCGGGACAGUCUGGGCAGUCUGGCAACUCGGGACAGUCUGGCCACUCGGGACAGUCUGGGCAGUCUGGCCACUCGGGACAGUCUGGGCAGUCUGGCCACUCCGGCAGUUCAGGGCAGUCUGGCCACUCCGGCAGUUCAGGGCAGUCUGGCCACUCCGGCAGUUCAGGGCAGUCUGGCCACUCCGGCAGUUCAGGGCAGUCUGGCCACUCCGGCAGUUCCGGCGUCUGUGCACUGGC
rnacentral:lncRNA from 1 species